UUUUAUUCCUGUGGCAAAACUCUAGCUCUUGAAUCCAAUAUCAAUGAUCUCAAUUAGCUAGCAUAUAAGUAAGUGGCAAGAAUGAAGAAAUUGGAAGAUAUCAAUCGUUCUUCUUCUUCAACGAACAAGUAUUCAAGAAUGACUUGCAACAACAAAAACUGGAGCAUCGGUAAAUAUCAAAAAGUAUUAUAGCCAUAUGGCUCUUCUUAAUUUUCAUUCGUGUUCCACAUGAAUAUGACAUACUAUAACACUAGUCUUUUCAUUUGCUUUCAGCUUUAGAUCGAGCUAAACCUUAUUAGAUCGAGAAAUUGCAAAUUCCAGUUCCUGGUUUGAGCUUGAGCUCGACAUUUUUGUCAAGGUAUAAUUUCCUCACCUUUCACGAAUACAAAUACAAGUUAACUCUGAAAAAUUAGGAAGGCUUGUAGAGAACAAAUUAUUAGUUCUAAAAUUCAUAAUACCGUACAGCACAAACGAUAAUUGCAAUUAAGAGAUUAGAGAACAAAUUGGUUCAUAAAAAAUAUCUCAGAUCAAACAUGCAGUAAAUCUCACUGACAUCCGAUUUAAACGUCUAGAGGAAAUUGAAAUGUCACAUUGCCAAACGAUCAUUCACUAUUAUCCAAAUUUUGGAGUGCGCACACAUUAGGAUUAAUUAUAUAUUCCUCAUUUAAGUCAAAAUUGGACUAAUAUAGGUUAAUCAUAUAUUCUCUUUGGCUUCUUUGAUAGCUUUACUGAUAGUUUCCCCUUCUUAACUCCCAAGUAUCUGUCAAUCUCCUCGUCAGCAGCAUCUCCGCCUCUGUGUUUCCUUUUGCCACCACUUUCUUUGAUUUUCUGAAUCAAAAUAGAUUGGAUGUUAAUUAUCUAAUAACUCCAUUGAGCAAUGUAUUACCAAGAAAACAUGCAUCAGCAAAAAUCCUACAUAAACUACUAACAACCUAUAUAAUAAUGUAUCAGCAUGCAAACAUCAGGAAAUAUGAGCAACUUAAACAUUUCAUAGAGUAAGUUGUAUACAAGGCACCUCUCACAACAUUCCACAUCCUCUCCAACUGAGAAAUGCACAUAACAGUCACAUGUUCUGAAUAACAGCUCUACAUCCAAACCACACUAAAAAGGUCAAAAAUAUGCUCACACUAUCUCUACCUUAUUACCUCAAUGACAUCAACACCUGAGCCUAAUGAAAAUGUUGAAAGAGGAGAAUUCAACUAUAAUAUUAAGUGCUAAAAGGGAAACUAAUAAUAAAAAUAAGGGCCCAUUUCACUUGAUUUAAUUGGCUAAAUUUAAACCGUCUUUAACCCGUGCAGGCAAAAGUUGACCACCUAGUGAUUACAGCCAACUGAAGUACACCCUCCUCUCACAAGGGGGAAAAAAAAAGGAGACGAGAAUUACCAUCUGUGAGAUCC
rnacentral:lncRNA from 1 species